CGGAUCAGCAUGCCGCGGUGAAUACGUUCCCGGGCCUUGUACACACCGCCCGUCACACCAUGGGGAGCCGGUAAUACCCGAAGUCAGUAGUCCAACCUCGUGAGGACGCUGCCGAAGGUAGGAUUGGCGACUGGGGUGAAGUCGUAACAAGGUACC
rnacentral:rRNA from 1 species